GACAAACGCUGGCGGCGUGCCUAAUACAUGCAAGUCGAGCGAACAAAUGAAGUGCUUGCACUUCUGACGUUAGCGGCGAACGGGUGAGUAACACGUAAGGAAUCUACCUAUAAGCGGGGGAUAACAUUCGGAAACGGGUGCUAAUACCGCAUAAUAUCUUCUUCCGCAUGGAAGGAGAUUGAAAGACGGCUCUGCUGUCACUUAUAGAUGACCUUGCGGUGCAUUAGUUAGUUGGUGGGGUAACGGCCUACCAAGACGAUGAUGCAUAGCCGACCUGAGAGGGUGAUCGGCCACAUUGGGACUGAGACACGGCCCAAACUCCUACGGGAGGCAGCAGUAGGGAAUCUUCCGCAAUGGGCGAAAGCCUGACGGAGCAAUGCCGCGUGAGUGAAGAAGGCCUUCGGGUCGUAAAACUCUGUUAUAAGAGAAGAACAAAUUGUAGAGUAACUGCUACAGUCUUGACGGUAUCUUAUCAGAAAGCCACGGCUAACUACGUGCCAGCCGCCGCCGUAA
rnacentral:rRNA from 1 species